rnacentral:rRNA from 1 species
GCUAUACAUGCAGUCGAACGCACUCUCGUUUAGAUUGAAGGAGCUUGCUCCUGAUUGAUAAACAUUUGAGUGAGUGGCGGACGGGUGAGUAACACGUGGGUAACCUGCCCUAAAGUGGGGGAUAACAUUUGGAAACAGAUGCUAAUACCGCAUAAAACCUAACACCGCAUGGUGUAGGGUUGAAAGAUGGUUUCGGCUAUCACUUUAGGAUGGACCCGCGGUGCAUUAGUUAGUUGGUGAGGUAAAGGCUCACCAAGACCGUGAUGCAUAGCCGACCUGAGAGGGUAAUCGGCCACACUGGGACUGAGACACGGCCCAGACUCCUACGGGAGGCAGCAGUAGGGAAUCUUCCACAAUGGACGAAAGUCUGAUGGAGCAACGCCGCGUGAGUGAAGAAGGUUUUCGGAUCGUAAAACUCUGUUGUUGGAGAAGAAUGUAUCUGAUAGUAACUGAUCAGGUAGUGACGGUAUCCAACCAGAAAGCCACGGCUAACUACGUGCCAGCAGCCGCGGUAAUACGUAGGUGGCAAGCGUUGUCCGGAUUUAUUGGGCGUAAAGCGAGCGCAGGCGGUUUCUUAAGUCUGAUGUGAAAGCCUUCGGCUCAACCGAAGAAGUGCAUCGGAAACUGGGAAACUUGAGUGCAGAAGAGGACAGUGGAACUCCAUGUGUAGCGGUGAAAUGCGUAGAUAUAUGGAAGAACACCAGUGGCGAAGGCGGCUGUCUGGUCUGUAACUGACGCUGAGGCUCGAAAGCAUGGGUAGCAAACAGGAUUAGAUACCCUGGUAGUCCAUGCCGUAAACGAUGAGUGCUAGGUGUUGGAGGGUUUCCGCCCUUCAGUGCCGCAGCUAACGCAUUAAGCACUCCGCCUGGGGAGUACGACCGCAAGGUUGAAACUCAAAGGAAUUGACGGGGGCCCGCACAAGCGGUGGAGCAUGUGGUUUAAUUCGAAGCAACGCGAAGAACCUUACCAGGUCUUGACAUCCUUUGACCACUCUAGAGAUAGAGCUUUCCCUUCGGGGACAAAGUGACAGGUGGUGCAUGGUUGUCGUCAGCUCCUGUCCUGAGAUGUUGGGGUUAAGUCCCGCACGAGCGCAACCCUUAUUACUAGUUGGCAACAUUUUGUUGGGCCUCUUUGGAUGGCCGGGACAACCCCAAGGAAGGUGGGG